UACGUAGGGUGCAAGCGUUAAUCGGAAUUACUGGGCGUAAAGCGUGCGCAGGCGGUUGUGCAAGACCGAUGUGAAAUCCCCGGGCUUAACCUGGGAAUGGCAUUGGUGACUGCACGGCUAGAGUGUGUCAGAGGGGGGUAGAAUUCCACGUGUAGCAGUGAAAUGCGUAGAGAUGUGGAGGAAUACCGAUGGCGAAGGCAGCCCCCCUGGGAUAACACU
rnacentral:rRNA from 1 species